rnacentral:pre_miRNA from 1 species
CAGAUGUGGGAAAUGUCCAGGAGGAAGGGGGAUGGUUGGCUGUCCAGGAGCUAAUUACCCCUGAUCUCACAAAUCUCACCCAAGGU